AAUAAAAAUAACCUUUAAAAAAGAAAGUUUAAUAUAAACUAAAGUGGUGGUGUUUAAUCAGACUGUACUUUAAACUUCAGAAUGUCCUCGAAGACGAGGGGAAAAAAACUCAGAUUUGCGUGAUCUGAUGAUUGGCUUCAGCAAAUAUUUAUCCCCUGGAGAACUUAAAAAAAAGGAAGGAAGCUAACCUAAAAAAAAACAAUUCCUUUUUUUAGUAUAUCCACUAUACAUUAUUGCCAACAAAAUAUAUGUUUAUGUUGCACGGGGGAUAAUCGUUAAAGGGACAAACUAGUCGUCAAACCGGGCUCAUUUAUACCCAAAAUAUCCUCAGGAGAAGUCGAAAAACAUUUUUAAAUGCAGCUAAAUAUUCGCCAUUGAUUAUUUGUUUGUUUUUGUGUCAUACUGAAGGUUUGGUAGAGAUUGUAAAUAAAUAAUUGUCCGACUUUAUGUCCAAAUGUAGAGUGCAAACAUCAUAAAUGUUGAAUUCAUUGGCUCUACUCGAGCAGAGGAGGGCCAGUGGCCUCUUCAAGGUCGGCAGCCUCAAGCAAUCAUAAAAUAUCUAUAUACAUCCACCCACCCACUUUAGAGGAGUUUCUUGGGUUGGAGUUUAAUAUUAUUGUAUAGUAGCUAAUUUAUUCGUGUUAGUCAGACUCUAUAUGUGAUACAUAUACGGAGAAAUACUGUCAUCAAUACGACUUGGGAAUAAAUUUCUUUGAAUUAGAAAAUGAGGAUAAUAAAAGAACAGGAAAUAAAUCUAAUGGUUCUGCUAAAUUUGUUUUAAAUUCUUAUCACAACUUGACUUGUCUUGAUACACUAGUCUAAAACAGCAUGGUAUUGUUGAAAUAAUGUCGAAUAACAACACAAAAAAAUUAUCAAUGAAGUAAUUAAUUUUGAAAUGUUCACUUAAAUGAUGGAUGCAAUUAUGAAGUGAAAAUGAUGUCUAAUCAACUCUGGUUUCAAGACAAUUGAUGAUUGAUUCAUUGAUUAAUGUUAUUAUCAAAAUGAAUAUGGUUUUUUUUUUUUUGUAAUUAACAUAUUCUUUAUAGCAUUAAUUUAAGCAGUGAAAUAAAAAUAGUUCUAGCAGUAAUUCUAAUGUAAUUAUAUCAACUUCGUAGAUAGAUUAGUCUUAAGGCUGAGUUGAACUUGAAAUCUUUUCCUUACUGGCAGUAGCAGAAAGCAUCUGACUAAAUACAUUUUAAUUACAGUGUUUUAUUAUGUAAAAUAAUUUUAUUUAUAAUAUAAAAGGUGGCAAGGAUUUAGGCUUAUAAUUAUUUUGAGAAAAAUUUCAAUAAAAAAUAAAUAAUCAAUUAUUUUCUCUUGACGGUCAUGAAGCGUCAAAAAUCUAGUGAUAAUUCGAUAACAAUAUCCUCUCCAAUAAAAUGAAAUAAAAUUUCUACAUGAAAUAAACUUUAUAUUGACACCAAAAUCAGUGGAUGUAAUUGCAAAUAGGCUGAUUAAUUAAUCCUUUCUCUACUCUUUGGGAUCUUCUAGGAAGAAAUCGAUGUAAAGCCUAGCCUUAAAUCAAAAUAAAAUAUUUAA